rnacentral:rRNA from 1 species
GACGAACGCUGGCGGCGUGCCUAAUACAUGCAAGUAGGACGCAGUUGCGAACGGGUGAGUAACGCGUAGGUAACUACCUAUUAGAGGGGGAUAACUAUUUGAAACGCUAGCUAAUACCGCAUACUAGUAGAUGGACCUGCGUUGUAUUAGUUAGUAGGUAGGGUAAUGGCCUACCUAGGCAACGUUAAAUAGCCGACCUGGUGGGUGGAUCGGACAAACCGGGACGGGGACACGGCCCAGACUUCUUCGGGAGGCAGCAGUAGCGAAUCUGCGGCAAUGGUGCGAACCCUGACCCAGCAACGCCGCGUGAGUGAAGGAGGUUUUCGGAUCGUAAAGCUCUGUUGUUAAGGAAGCGGUACUUAACCAGAAAGGGACGGCUAACUACGUGCCAGCAGCCGCGGUAAUAC